GUACAGUUGCUUUAUCUCCAUCUUGUCUGAUAUUCUGGUCAAAAAGAUUAUGUAUACCAUUUGUUCAAGGGAUUAUCCAUAAUUGGUAGUAAGGAGAAGCAUAGAUGUAACUAAUAAAUUUAUCUUCACUUUGUACCUUAAGUUUGCCAGUAAGUAUAGGACCCUUGUAUACUAGAAUGCAAUGCUACCAUUGGUUUCUGAUUACACUUGUGUUCAACAAGUGAAAUGCUUGUUAGAAAAAACCUGUUGCGUUUAUGUUGUCUUAAAUUCUGGCAGCUCGCCAACAUAAUGCUUUGUAUUUUGCUCUUUAUCAGAGUGCUGUUGUGUGUGCGUGUUUAUAUAGUGUGGUUUUUCAGAGGACAGAUGUAUUUAGUUUUGGAGUUGAUGGGUGUUUUCACAACAGACAUUUUGACUUGUCUUAGGAAAAGCACAGCUGAAAUUGAUGACCUUUUAUGAUGGCUCAAUUCCAUAAAGUGUCCCACUAAGCUAUUUCAGUGAGUCAGCAUGCACAAAUACUACAGCUGCUCCUAAGUGGAAUGCAGCCAUCUUUAAUUGUUUUGAAUACACCUUUUCCUACUAUAAAAUGUCAACAUGUCUGCUGUGAAAAAGGUCUAUGCCAGCAUGUUUAAAUUUGAGCAGCCAAAAUGGAUGUCAGUUGUCAUUUUAUAUUUAACACCUGUGCUUUUCCUACUUGGCAUGUACAUACACUCAUGAGCUACAGCUCUUUGGAAAUAUGAGUUAUGAUCAUGCAAGAUUAUCCAAACCGCAUGCAAUUUCAAUUACAAUCUGCAGUAUACCAUAGCAAAGGAAUAACGCACGUUUGCGAGUGCUAUUUAUUGAGAAGAGUUUUGAGCACAAGAAAUCCAAUGCCAUCCAGCUCCAUUGUA